rnacentral:rRNA from 1 species
UACAGAGGGUGCGAGCGUUAAUCGGAAUUACUGGGCGUAAAGCGUGCGCAGGCGGUUUUGUAAGCCAGAUGUGAAAUCCCCGGGCUUAACCUGGGAAUGGCAUUUGGGACUGCAAGGCUGGAGUGUGGCAGAGGAGACUGGAAUUCCCGGUGUAGCAGUGAAAUGCGUAGAUAUCGGGAGGAAUACCGAUGGCGAAGGCAGGUCUCUGGGCUGACACUGACGCUCAUGCACGAAAGCGUGGGGAGCAAACAGG